rnacentral:rRNA from 1 species
GCAUAUCAAUAAGCGGAGGAAAAGAAACCAACAGGGAUUGCCCUAGUAACGGCGAGUGAAGCGGCAACAGCUCAAAUUUGAAAUCUGGCUCUUUUAGAGUCCGAGUUGUAAUUUGCAGAGGGCGCUUUGGCUUUGGCAGCGGUCCAAGUUCCUUGGAACAGGACGUCACAGAGGGUGAGAAUCCCGUACGUGGUCGCUGGCUAUUGCCGUGUAAAGCCCCUUCGACGAGUCGAGUUGUUUGGGAAUGCAGCUCUAAAUGGGAGGUACAUUUCUUCUAAAGCUAAAUAUUGGCCAGAGACCGAUAGCGCACAAGUAGAGUGAUCGAAAGAUGAAAAGCACUUUGGAAAGAGAGUCAAACAGCACGUGAAAUUGUUGAAAGGGAAGCGCUUGCAGCCAGACUUGCUUGCAGUUGCUCAUCCGGGCUUUUGCCCGGUGCACUCUUCUGCAGGCAGGCCAGCAUCAGUUUGGGCGGUAGGAUAAAGGUCUCUGUCACGUACCUCUCUUCGGGGAGGCCUUAUAGGGGAGACGACAUACUACCAGCCUGGACUGAGGUCCGCGCAUCUGCUAGGAUGCUGGCGUAAUGGCUGUAAGCGGCCCGUCUUGAAACACGGACCAAGGAGUCUAACAUCUAUGCGAGUGUUUGGGUGUCAAGCCCGAGCGCGUAAUGAAAGUGAACGGAGGUAGGAACCCGCAAGGGUGCACUAUCGACCGAUCCUGAUGUCUUCGGAAGGAUUUGAGUAAGAGCAUGGCUGUUGGGACCCGAAAGAUGGUGAACUAUGCUUGAAUAGGGUGAAGCCAGAGGAAACUCUGGUGGAGGCUCGCAGCGGUUCUGACGUGCAAAUCGAUCGUCAAAUUUGGGCAUAGGGGCGAAAGACUAAUCGAACUAUCUAGUAG